GUAGUCCACGCUGUAAACGAUGAUUACUAGGUGUGGGGGGUCUGACCCCUUCCGUGCCGGAGUUAACACAAUAAGUAAUCCACCUGGGGAGUACGGUCGCAAGACUGAAACUCAAAGGAAUUGACGGGGGCCCGCACAAGCAGUGGAGUAUGUGGUUUAAUUCGAAGCAACGCGAAGAACCUUACCAGGUCUUGACAUCCUUAGACCACUUGAGAGAUCAAGCUUUCCCUUCGGGGACUGAGUGACAGGUGGUGCAUGGUUGUCGUCAGCUCGUGUCGUGAGAUGUUGGGUUAAGUCCCGCAACGAGCGCAACCCUUACUAAUAGUUGCUACGCAAGAGCACUCUAUUGGGACUGCCGUUGAUAAAACGGA
rnacentral:rRNA from 1 species